CUUUGACAUGGAACUCAGAACCGGAACACUUCUAACUCAGAACCUGGAACAGAGGCUGUAAAGAACACUUUGUCAAAAACCCCGAUUUUAGAUCAAUCUUCUUGGUGCCACUGGGUUUUACCCUCUCCUAUAACGGGUGCAAUAAAUUCCUCUCUUGGAGGGUUUGGAGGACUGCUGUCUUCAUCUGGACAAGUUAUUUGAUACAGUGAAUUAUGGCAGAAUUAGCCCAUGUCAGAAUUACAAGACUGAAACUCAGCUGGCACAGACCCUGCCUUUGGACUUUGCUGUUCACAACAUCCAGGCAGGAGACCGGGUCCUAGUUAAGGAGUGGAAAGAAGCACCACUGGAGGCUAAGUGGCUUGGACCUUUCCAAGUGUUGCUGACCACAGAAACAGCCGUCAAGACAGCUGAACACGGGUGGACACAUCACACUCGAGUCAAGGUCUCUGAAGCUCCAGAGAUUUGGACAUCUCAGCUGGAGGAGAAGGAUGGGAAGCCGUGACUGACACUCCACAGGAGUGGACCAGAGCAGUAGCUGGUGCGUCGACAUCGGAGGAAGCCCCGAGUGCCUCCCCACAGACUGCCUGCUGAAAUAGUCUGUAUGGGCAUCCCUACUCUCAAAUCUCCAGACACUGGGAGCCAAUCCAUGCUGUCAUUGCUUUCUUUAUGCUAAGCUGUUUCUGUGCUUUCACUUGCCACAGGUGGUGUAGAAGACAACGUGAAAUUGAAAAUUAGAAAUUAGAUUAUAACACUAUUAGAAUGUUUCUCUUAAUAAUUUUACCUUUAUAUUUCCAGUUAAGUUGGAGUCUAAAGUGGGAAAAUAAGUUUUUUACUUUAAGAGAACAAGUAGCAAAGACCUUUAACCUUAGAAACUGUUGGGUCUGCGGGGGGCCAGGGGGAUCUGAAAGCUGGCCAUGGGUGGCCAGCCCAGUCGAGCCUAAAUGGUGGGUUAGCACCCUGAGUGAAGUCCAUAAUAGAACAAGAUUUUGAGACAAAGAAAGAAAUCCAUGGCAGCUUCAUUCUUCUGAAAGAGGCAUUUAUUGCUUAAACAGAACAAGAAGCACAUAUGUGGGAAAGAGCGUUUGUGACUGGACUUUAGGUUUAGAUUGUUGGACCCCCAACUGCCCUCCUUAUGACUGUUCCAGAUAUCGAGGCAGAUGGAAUCAAACGCAUGUUAAGCUCACUAAUGGUAGCUGAGUAAGGUGUUCCAUAAUUACCAAAAAGAUUUUGAAGGCUGUAAAGCAGUGGGGAAGGAUAAGUUUUUUUUGACCCUUUAUUUUUAAGCUGCCCCCGGGAUAAUUCCACAAGUCAGACACAUGUUGUCUGAGACUAUCAGUGGAAAUGGCAACACCAGAAUGAAACUCAAACCCUUUUCAGUAAGUUCUGGUCCAGAUCUAAUAAAACAGAUCUGGGAUGUGAUUGCAAGUGGAAACCUCAUGUAGGAGGUUAGAAAUGUAAAUAUUGUGAUUCUUAUGGCGAGGCAACUAUUGUUGGUGGACCCCUAGGCCCUGGAAGCAAGCUGUAUUUUGACCCGCCAGUUGAUGAUAAAAAUUGGAAAGGUCCCUUCACUAAUGGGACCUGGGCUCUAAAGGGGCAUUACUGGAUUUGUGGCCAAAAUGCUUACCGCAGGCUAUCUCCAAACUGGUCAGGAAUAUGUUAUGUGGGGUAUAUUAGACCAUUGUUCUUUCUGCUACCACAAGUUCAAGGAAAUCAGUUAAGAAUCAAAGUAUAUGAUGAUCUAAUUAGAGAGAAGCGGUCUAUUGAUACAUCCCUGGUUGGAAGGAGCACCCAAAAGUGGGGAAAAGAUGAAUGGCCACCUGAACGAAUCAUACAUACAACACUAUGGACCAGCUACCUGGAACCCAAAUGAAUUAAUAUCAGGUGCCAGAGAACCCAUUUAUAAUCUAAAUCGAAUAAUUAGGUUGCAAGCUGUCUUUGAAAUGAUAAUCAACCAGACAGCUACAGCUCUUGACCUUCUUGCUGACCAGUAUACUAAGAUGAGAAAUGCAGUAUUUCAACAUCGGAUAGUAUUAGACUAUUUAUUAGCAGAAAACGGGGGGGGGGGUGUAGAAAAUUUAAUGACUCAAACUGCUGUUUGCAAAUAAAUGACAAUAGAAAAGUGGUAAAACAAAUAACAAAAGGAAUAAAAAAGUUAGCCCAUGUACCGGUCCAAACAUGGAAAGGAUGGGAAUGGGACAUGUUUUC